rnacentral:rRNA from 1 species
AUUGAACGCUGGCGGCAGGCCUAACACAUGCAAGUCGAACGGUAACAGGAAGAAGCUUGCUUCUUUGCUGACGAGUGGCGGACGUGUGUGAAAUGUCUGGGAAACUGCCUGAUGGAGGGGGAUAACUACUGGAAACGGUAGCUAAUACCGCAUAACGUCGCAAACCCAAAGAGGGGGACCUUCGGGCCUCUUGCCAUCGGAUGUGCCCAGAUGGGAUUAGCUAGUAGGUGGGGUAACGGCUCACCUAGGCGACGAUCCCUAGCUGGUCUGAGAGGAUGACCAGCCACACUGGAACUGAGACACGGUCCAGACUCUUACGGGAGGCAGCAGUGGGGAAUAUUGGACAAGGGGCGCAAGCCUGAUGCAGCCAUGCCGCGUGUAUGAAGAAGGCCUUCGGGUUGUAAAGUACUUUCAGCGGGGAGGAAGGGAGUAAAGUUAAUACCUUUGCUCAUUGACGUUACCCGCAGAAGAAGCACCGGCUAACUCCGUG